UAAAGAGCUUGUAGGCGGCUUGUCGCGUCUGCUGUGAAAGCCCGGGGCUUAACCCCGGGUCUGCAGUGGGUACGGGCAGGCUAGAGUGUGGUAGGGGAGACUGGAAUUCCUGGUGUAGCGGUGGAAUGCGCAGAUAUCAGGAGGAACACCGAUGGCGAAGGCAGGUCUCUGGGCCAUUACUGACGCUGAGAAGCGAAAGCGUGGGGAGCGAACAGGAUUAGAUACCCUGGUAGUCCACGCCGUAAACGUUGGGCGCUAGGUGUGGGUCCCAUUCCACGGGGUCCGUGCCGCAGCUAACGCAUUAAGCGCCCCGCCUGGGGAGUACGGCCGCAAGGCUAAAACUCAAAGGAAUUGACGGGGGCCCGCACAAGCGGCGGAGCAUGCGGAUUAAUUCGAUGCAACGCGAAGAACCUUACCAAGGCUUGACAUGCACCGGACGACUGCAGAGAUGUGGUUUCCCUUUGUGGCUGGUGCACAGGUGGUGCAUGGUUGUCGUCAGCUCGUGUCGUGAGAUGUUGGGUUAAGUCCCGCAACGAGCGCAACCCUCGUUCUAUGUUGCCAGCGGUUCGGCCGGGGACUCAUAGGAGACUGCCGGGGUCAACUCGGAGGAAGGUGGGGAUGACGUCAAAUCAUCAUGCCCCUUACGUCUUGGGCUUCACGCAUGCUACAAUGGCCGGUACAAAGGGCUGCGAUCCCGUGAGGGGGAGCGAAUCCCAGAAAGCCGGUCUCAGUUCGGAUUGGGGUCUGCAACUCGACCCCAUGAAGUCGGAGUCGCUAGUAAUCGC
rnacentral:rRNA from 1 species